rnacentral:rRNA from 1 species
CAGUCGCCGCGGUAAAACGUAGGUCCCGAGCGUUGUCCGGAUUUAUUGGGCGUAAAGGGAGCGCAGGCGGUUUAGUAAGUCUGUCUUAAAAGUUCGGGGCUUAACCCCGUGAUGGGAUGGAAACUGCUGAUCUAGAGUAUCGGAGAGGAAAGUGGAAUUCCUAGUGUAGCGGUGAAAUGCGUAGAUAUUAGGAAGAACACCAGUGGCGAAGGCGACUUUCUGGACGAAAACUGACGCUGAGGCGCGAAAGCCAGGGGAGCGAACGGGAUUAGAUACCCCCGUAGUCCCUGUCUCUUAUACA